UGGGGAAUCUUGCGCAAUGCGCGAAAGCGUGACGCAGCAACGCCGCGUGGGGGAAGAAGGCCUUCGGGUUGUAAACCUCUUUCAGUUGGGACGAAGCUUCCGCGGUGAACAGCCGCGUGGAGUGACGGUACCUUCACAAGAAGCCCCGGCUAACUACGUGCCAGCAGCCGCGGUAAUACGUAGGGGGCAAGCGUUGUCCGGAAUCAUUGGGCGUAAAGCGCGUGUAGGCGGCUCGGUAAGUCUGUUCUGAAAGUCCAGGGCUCAACCCUGGGAUGCGGAUGGAUACUGCCGAGCUCGAGUCCGGAAGAGGCGAGUGGAAUUCCUGGUGUAGCGGUGAAAUGCGCAGAUAUCAGGAGGAACACCAAUGGCGAAGGCAGCUCGCUGGGACGUGACUGACGCUGAGACGCGAAAGCGUGGGAGCAAACA
rnacentral:rRNA from 1 species